rnacentral:rRNA from 1 species
GACGAACGCUGGCGGCGUGCUUAACACAUGCAAGUCGAACGGAAAGGCCCUGCUUUUUUGGGGUGCUCGAGUGGCGAUCGGGUGAGUAACACGUGAGUAACCUGCCCUUGACUUUGGGAUAACUUCAGGAAACUGGGGCUAAUACCGGAUAGGAGCUCCUGCUGCAUGGUGGGGGUUGGAUAGUUUCGGCGGUUGGGGAUGGACUCGCGGCUUAUCAGCUUGUUGGUUGGGUAGUUGCUUACCAAGGCUUUGACGGGUAGCCGGCCUGGGAGGGUGACCGGGCACAUUGGGACUGAGAUACGGACCAGACUGCAACGGGAGGCAACAGUGGGGAAUAUUGCACAAUGGGCGGAAGCCUGAUGCAGCAACGCCGCGUGCGGGAUGACGGCCUUCGGGUUGUAAACCGCUUUCGCCUGUGACGAAGCGUGAGUGACGGUAAUGGGUAAAGAAGCACCGGCUAACUACGUG